GACGAACGCUGGCGGCGUGCUUAACACAUGCAAGUCGAACGGUAAGGCCCUUCGGGGUACACGAGUGGCGAACGGGUGAGUAACACGUGGGUGAUCUGCCCUGCACUUCGGGAUAAGCCUGGGAAACUGGGUCUAAUACCGGAUAGGACUCCUGGCUUCAUGGUUGGGGGUGUAAAGCUUUUGCGGUGUGGGAUGGGCCGCGGCCUAUCAGCUUGUUGGUGGGGUAAUGGCCUACCAAGGCGACGACGGGUAGCCGGCCUGAGAGGGUGACCGGCCACACUGGGACUGAGAUACGGCCCAGACUCCUACGGGAGGCAGCAGUGGGGAAUAUUGCACAAUGGGCGGCAAGCCUGAUGCAGCGACGCCGCGUGAGGGAUGACGGCC
rnacentral:rRNA from 1 species